GAAAAUAAAAAGACAUCGCGAAGGCCCACGGCGGGUGUUGACGUGAUGUGAUUUCUGCCCAGUGCUCUGAAUGUCAAACUGAAGAAAUUCAGUGAAAUGCGGGUAAACGGCGGGAGUAACUAUGACUCUCUUAAGGUAGCUAAAUGCCUUGUCAUCUAAUUAGUGACGCGCAUGAAUGGAUGAAC
rfam:Homo sapiens chromosome 7, GRCh38 reference primary assembly.